GAUGAACGCUGGCGGCGUGCCUAAUACAUGCAAGUCGAGCGAACAGACGAGGAGCUUGCUCCUCUGACGUUAGCGGCGGACGGGUGAGUAACACGUGGAUAACCUACCUAUAAGACUGGGAUAACUUCGGGAAACCGGAGCUAAUACCGGAUAAUAUAUUGAACCGCAUGGUUCAAUAGUUAAAGACGGUUUUGCUGUCACUUAUAGCUGGAUCCGCGCCGCAUUAGCUAGUUGGUAAGGUAACGGCUUACCAAGGCAGCGAUGCGUAGCCGACCUGAGAGGGUGAUCGGCCACACUGGAACUGAGACACGGUACAGACUCCUACGGGAGGCAGCAGUAGGGAAUCUUCCGCAAUGGGCGAAAGCCUGACGGAGCAACGCCGCGUGAGUGAUGAAGGUCUUCGGAUCGUAAAACUCUGUUAUUAGGGAAGAACAAAUGUGUAAGUAACUAUGCACGUCUUGACGGUACCUAAUCAGAAAGCCACGGCUAACUACGUG
rnacentral:rRNA from 1 species